rnacentral:lncRNA from 1 species
CGGGUGCUGCCGCAUAGCACUCAAUCGUCUUCCGCUGCCGCUAGAUGGCAGCACACGCCUGCGCGCUAUCAUCAUUGCGCGCUUGCGACAGCGACGCCUUGCCUCCCUCCGCCGCAGCUGGGUGCGCGUCGUGUGCGCGUCGCCGGCGUCGUCUGCACAAAACCGUGGUCCAGACUCCGAGCGCAGGUAGCAAGCGCGCCGGGCAGAGCGCGCGCGCGCGUGUGUCUGUGCUUGUGGCGCCCACUGCCGCUCUGCUUGUUCUUUCGAGACAGACGUCGCGUGCUUGCACCCGCUAAUCGUGGUCGCUCGUCGAAGACGACCGAGCACCGGCGACUUCCGAGAUCGUCGUCGGGCGCGGGGGGUUGUAUGUGCUCUUAGUCGUCCACGUCGUGUACCAAGCAAACCAGUGUGUCUCCAGCCCUGCCGUGCGCGGGGGGUGUCUUCUACUAGAGGAAUGCAGGCCGCGGGCCGGCCUGCCGCAUCGUGUGCGGCGACGUGGCUUCGCGUGCCGCGGAUACAUCAUCGCGCAGGCGUUCUUCGCACUUGGACUUGGUCGAGCAUUGUAUUCGCCGCUGUCUGCGUCGUCGCUGUCAACGCUGGAGGAAGAAAGUCAGAGGGGGA